AUUGAACGCUGGCGGCAGGCCUAACACAUGCAAGUCGAGCGGAUGAAGGGAGCUUGCUCCUGUAUUCAGCGGCGGACGGGUGAGUAAUGCCUACGAAUCUGCCUUGUAGUGGGGGAUAACGUCCGGAAACGGGCGCUAAUAUCGCACACGUCCUGAGGGAGAAAGUGGUGGAUCUUCGGACCUCAAGCUAUCUGCUGACCCUAGGUCGGAUUAGCUAGUUGGUGGGGUAAAGGCCUACCAAGGCGACGAUCCGUAACUGGUCUGAGAGGAUGAUCAGUCACACUGGAACUGAGACACGGUCCAGACUCCUACGGGAGGCAGCAGUGGGGAAUAUUGGACAAUGGGCGAAAGCCUGAUCCAGCCAUGCCGCGUGUGUGAAGAAGGUCUUCGGAUUGUAAAGCACUUUAAGUUGGGAGGAAGGGCAGUAAGUUAAUACCUUGCUGUUUUGACGUUACCAACAGAAUAAGCACCGGCUAACUUCGUG
rnacentral:rRNA from 1 species